rnacentral:rRNA from 1 species
CGUGAGGAACCUGCCUUGGAGAGGGGAAUAACACUCCGAAAGGGGUGCUAAUACCGCAUAAUGCAGUUGGGUCGCAUGGCUCUGACUGUCAAAGAUUUAUCGCUCUGAGAUGGCCUCGCGUCUGAUUAGCUAGUUGGUGAGGUAAUGGCCCACCAAGGCGACGAUCGGUAGCCGGACUGAGAGGUUGAACGGCCACAUUGGGACUGAGACACGGCCCAG